rnacentral:rRNA from 1 species
AGUGAACGCUGGCGGUAGGCCUAACACAUGCAAGUCGAACGGCAGCACAGUAAGAGCUAGCUCUUACGGGUGGCGAGUGGCGGACGGGUGAGGAAUACAUCGGAAUCUACUUUUUCGUGGGGGAUAACGUAGGGAAACUUACGCUAAUACCGCAUACGACCUACGGGUGAAAGCAGGGGAUCUUCGGACCUUGCGCGAUUGAAUGAGCCGAUGCCGGAUUAGCUAGUUGGCGGGGUAAAGGCCCACCAAGGCGACGAUCCGUAGCUGGUCUGAGAGGAUGAUCAGCCACACUGGAACUGAGACACGGUCCAGACUCCUACGGGAGGCAGCAGUGGGGAAUAUUGGACAAUGGGCGCAAGCCUGAUCCAGCCAUACCGCGUGGGUGAAGAAGGCCUUCGGGUUGUAAAGCCCUUUUGUUGGGAAAGAAAAGCAGCAGGUUAAUACCCCGCUGUUCUGACGGUACCCAAAGAAUAAGCACCGGCUAACUUCGUG